UACGUAGGGCGCGAGCGUUGUCCGGAAUCAUUGGGCGUAAAGAGCUCGUAGGCGGCCGGUUGCGUCUGCUGUGAAAUCCCGGGGCUUAACCCCGGGCGUGCAGUGGAUACGGGCUGGCUGGAGGCAGGCAGGGGAGAAUGGAAUUCCCGGUGUAGCGGUGAAAUGCGCAGAUAUCGGGAGGAACACCGGUGGCGAAGGCGGUUCUCUGGGCCUGUGCUGACGCUGAGGAG
rnacentral:rRNA from 1 species